CGUAGGGCGCGAGCGUUGUCCGGAAUUAUUGGGCGUAAAGGGCUUGUAGGCGGCUGGUCGCGUCUGCCGUGAAAUCCUCUGGCUCAACUGGGGGCGUGCGGUGGGUACGGGCUGGCUUGAGUGCGGUAGGGGAGGCUGGAACUCCUGGUGUAGCGGUGGAAUGCGCAGAUAUCAGGAAGAACACCGGUGGCGAAGGCGGGUCUCUGGGCCGUUACUGACGCUGAGGAGCGAAAGCGUGGGGAGCGAACAGGAUU
rnacentral:rRNA from 1 species